GCUUCCGUAGCUCAGUUGGUUAGAGCUUCGUACUAAUACUUUCAAGUCUUCAUGACUCAAAAGUCUUGGUAAUGCGAAGGUCGCAGGUUCAAGCCCUGCCGGGAGCA
rfam:Trichoderma harzianum strain T6776 Scaffolds0010.1, whole genome shotgun sequence.